AACGUAGGAGACAAACGUUAUCCGGAGUUACUGGGCGUAAAGGGCGUGUAGGCGGUAUCGUAAGUCUGGCGUGAAAUUUCUCGGCUUAACCGAGGCAGGUCGUCGGAUACUGCGAGGCUAGAGGACGGUAGAGGCGUGUGGAAUUCCGGGUGUAGUGGUGAAAUGCGCAGAUAUCAGGAAGAACACCCGUGGCGAAAGCGGCUCUCUGGAACGGUACUGACGCUGAGACGCGAAAGCGUGGGGAGCGAACAGG
rnacentral:rRNA from 1 species